GAUGAACGCUAGCGGCAGGCUUAAUACAUGCAAGUCGUGGGGCAGCACAGGUAGCAAUACUGGGUGGCGACCGGCAAACGGGUGCGGAACACGUACGCAACCUUCCUUUAAGCGGGGGAUAGCCCAGGGAAACUUGGAUUAAUACCCCAUAAGACAAUGAUCUGGCAUCAGAUAGUUGUUAAAGCUCCGGCACUUAAAGAUGGGCGUGCGGCUGAUUAGGUAGUUGGCGGGGUAAUGGCCCACCAAGCCGACGAUCAGUAACUGGUGUGA
rnacentral:rRNA from 1 species